AACCAACUGACUUCCAAACUUGGCUGCAUGAAAAAGAAUGUUCUCUGAUUGGCAUUCCUGGAAGCAGAAAGCAAGGCAGCUCAAGUUUUGUACUGUUACUCAGCAUGAAUAACUCCCCAGUUACACAAAAUACAAACAAAAGAGAAACAACUUCCACAGUCUCUAGUCUCUAGACAUUUCUUCAGUAACUUGAAUGAAUCAGCAACAUGAACUGAAAACUUUGGAUUCCACCUUUGCUUCCACUGGGAGGCAUGUUAAGUGAAACGCUUUGGAAAUGUAGACUGGCCUUUGUCAGAAGUGAGUUACUAUGUAGUCAUUAGUAAGUAGGCAUAAAACCAAAGAAGCGUUCAGUUCAGAAAGAAGAAAAAACAGUCCACGGGAGGAAAUGAAUCACCAUAGUACCCAUGCACAUUGAUCCAACUUUCAUGAAUUUCAUGAGAUUCAAUGCCAGAAGCUGGAAAAUAUUAACAAUAUAAUCACUGAAGCUAUUUGAAGUUGGACUGUUGUCCUGAAUUGUGGGUUCUCAAUGGCAAAUACAAUGAUAAAAAUAAAUUUGUAGAGUUUUAGAUUUAGACUAUUUACUAAAUUUAAAUUUUGCAAACACUUACUAAAAUGUAAGACAAAAGAAUGACUAGAAAUCGGCAUCAGUAAAGAUGGAACAACUUAGUACAUGUUCCUGGUGAGGUCUCUCUCUCCUAAGCUUUCCUAGUCCAACUAGGGAACUGUCCACAGCCAGACUGAGGGGAUGCCCAAAGAUUUCUGUGCUCCCAUGACACUACUUCUCUCUGCCUCCUCCCCAUGGCCCCUGGAGUCUCCCUGUUCCCCAUGCCACACACUUUCUAUGAUUUGCUUAUUCCAAAGAAGGAGGCAUUAAUUAAGGUUGUUGGCCUUCAUCCCUAAUUAAUCAUCAGGACUAGAUACAUCCCACCUUACAGCUUUUUUACUGUAGUCACAAUCAGAAGUCUAUAGCUCCUAUGCCAUCUUUUUUUCUCCAGGACAACUUUCUUCACAUCUCUUUGGAUAUCUUCUAAUCUCACCUUAUCUCCCAGUAUUCAAUAAGUCCUAGCCCAUUCCUCUAUCAUCAGAGAAAUCCUUUAUUUUCUAACCUCUUUCCUGAAUGCUCCUGUAUUAGUUGGUUAUCACACUGCUAAUAAAGACAUACCAGAGACUGGCUAAUUUGUAAAGGAAAGAGGUUUAAUUGACUCACAGUUACCUAUGACUAGGGAGGCCUUACAGUCAUGGUUGAAGGCAAAUGAGGAGCAUCUUACAUGGGUGGAGGCAAGAGAGCUUGUUGGCGAAUUCUCCUUUAUAAAACCAUCCCAGGGCCAGGCGCAGUGGGUCACGCCUGUAAUCCCAGCACUUUGGGAGGCCGAGGCGGGUGGAUCAUGAGGUCAAGAGAUUGAGACCAUCCUGGUCAACAUAGUGAAACCCCGUCUCUACUAAAAAUACAAAAAAUUAGCUGGGCAUGGUGGUGUAUGCCUGUAAUCCCAGCUACUUGGGAGGCUGAGGCAGGAGAAUUGCCUGAACCCAGGAGGCAGAGGCUGCGGUGAGCCAAGAUCACACCAUUGCACUCCAGCCUGGGUAACAGCAGCUAAACUCCGUCUCAAAAAACAAACAAACAAACAAACAAACAAACCCCAUCACAUAUCAUAAGACUUAUUCACAAUCACGAGAAUUGCCUGCAAAAACCUCACCCUUAUGAUUCAAUUAUCACCACCUGGCACCGCCCAUGACAUAUGGGGGUUAUCAUAAUUAAAGGUGAGAUUUGAGUGGGGACACAGCCAAACCAUAUCAGUUCCCAUACAUUCUUGCUCUGGCUGAAAUGGUUCUCUUUUGAGAACAUGUGGGCCCAGACUUUUGUAACUAUUCAACUUGUAUCAUUCAUAUCAUUAUUAAUAAAUGUAUUUUAUUAUUUUAUAUAUUUCUUGAACAUUUAUAUAUUUCUUGUAAAAUGGCGUUGCGUUUUUCAUACAUAUAAUUUUGUUUUCAAAACUAAACUUUUUAUAGAGGUAAUUUCAUGGUGUUUUGAGACAGAAAAAGGGUUAAACUUUUACAGUGUUUUUAAAGUCCCAUUUUUAUGUCUUACUGCAUGGUCUACAUUGUACAACCCAUAAAAAUGUUAAUUUCAUUGAAUCCAGCAAAGAUUCCUAAGGUGGCAUAACAGGUUCUCAGGUCAAUUAUAAAUGCAGAAGAGAAUCAGAGGAUCUGUGCAAGAUGAAGACCCUAUCUUCAAGGAGCUAUUGAAAAUGCUUAAUAUGUUAAACAUACACAAUGACCAUAAUAAAAUCUCAGACUCUUGAUUGUCCAGCACAUCAUGUCUGGUUUAGAGAAGCAGUCUUUAUAGAGCGUAGUUUUAAGGAUGUGAAGUCUACUUUUUAUUCUGGAUAGUUCAUGUUUUGCUAAAACAAUCUAGAUUUUUCCCAUGGAUUUAACUAGACUGGUCAAAGGGUAAUCUUGGGCCAUAUAUUUUUUACUUCCCACAGUUCUUCUAUUUAGUCAUAUGCUUUGGUGCUACACCUUAAAUACUGUUGAAGAUGAUACUAGAUAAUGUUUUAUGGACUAUGAUAAUGCGUACAUUGAAGAAAUGUUAAUAAGGUCACGGUUCAUCCACUGUAUGAGUCUGUUAUGUAAAUUCCCCAAUAGGGUGAUGUUCCAAAAUAAACUUUUCUUUCCAUGGA